UAGUGCCUUUAAAAAAGUGCUUAUAAGAUUUUGUCCCUUUUUUGGUGUCCAGCAGGAGCCUAAAGCAAUGUCUUUCUAUGGUCCGUUGGUCAUUUCAGAGCUUAGGAAAUGUAACGGUCAACUCAUUAGAAAGAAACAUCU